rnacentral:rRNA from 1 species
GCCUACGGGACGCAGCAGUGAGGAAUAUUGGUCAAUGGGCGCGAGCCUGAACCAGCCAAGUCGCGUGAGGGGAGACGGUCCUAUAGAUUGUAAACCUCUUUUGUCGGGGAGCAAAAGACGCCACGUGUGGCGUUCCGAGAGUACCCGAAGAAAAAGCAUCGGCUAACUCCGUGCCAGCAGUCGCGGUAAUACGGAGGAUGCGAGCGUUAUCCGGAUUUAUUGGGUUUAAAGGGUGCGCAGGCGGAAGAUCAAGUCAGCGGUAAAAUUGAGAGGCUCAACCUCUUCGAGCCGUUGAAACUGGUUUU